AUUAAGCCCCGCCCCUUCCUGUAAUCCUCGUCUCUCAUUGGUCUGUGGUUUGCUAGCCCCGCCCACUCUCUCUCCAGAUCAAGAUAUCAUUGGUGGAUGCUGGGGAAGGUUGAAUCUCACUGGUGGAUGCUGGGAAAGGUUGAAUCUCACUGGUGGAUGCUGGGAAAGGUUGAAUCUCACUGGUGGAUGCUGGGAAGGGGUUGAAUCUCACUGGUGGAUGCUGGGAAGGGUUGAAUCUCACUGGUGGAUGCUGGGAAG